GAUGAACGCUGACAGAAUGCUUAACACAUGCAAGUCUUUGGCGAAGCUGUGCUCGCACAGCCUAGCCAAGGCGGACGGGUGAGUAACGCGUAAGGAACUUGCCCUGCAGUCAGGGAUAACAGACGGAAACGACUGAUAAGACCUGGUAAAGUCAGGCGGACUCAUGUCCAGCCUGAUGAAAAGAGAUGCUGCAGGAGAGCCUUGCGUCCUAUUAGCUUGUUGGUGGGGUAACGGCCCACCAAGGCGAUGAUAGGUAGCCGGCCUGAGAGGGUGGACGGCCACAAGGGGACUGAGAUACGGCCCUUACUCCUACGGGAGGCAGCAGUGGAGAAUAUUGGACAAUGGGGGCAACCCUGAUCCAGCAAUUCUGUGUGCACGAUGAAGGUUUUCGGAUUGUAAAGUGCUUUCAGCAGGGAAGAAAAAAAUGACGGUACCUGCAGAAGAAGCGACGGCUAAAUACGUG
rnacentral:rRNA from 1 species